ensembl:lncRNA
GUCAGCAAUUCAAAGGAAGCUUUUCACAGUGGCGCAGGGAUGAGGAGACCUGGCUGCCCUAACUUUGUAGAACUCAGAAAUUCUCAGCGCCUCUGCUUAAGAUGAUGUCAUCAGGCAGCAAGGCGGGGCCAGGAUAAAGCGAAGCCUAUCAUUGGAUGAGAAGGAAGGGUAGGCGGAGAAAGUCUAGGAAAAAGGAGGAGGAGCCAAGAGACAAAGAUGGAGACAGGAGGAGGCGGAUUCCGAUCCAGGUGGUCUAGACACCAGUCUCGAAUCAGCAACGGCAGCUCGAUCUAGAAGAAUCCGUGAGGCUCUGUCAAUUGGCCCGAGCCCAGGGAAGUUGCUAGAGCACCACCGGAAGUUCUUUGGUGCGUCUCUCUCUAUGACGUCAUGACCGACAGUGAUCAGCGGAGGAGGUGAGGUGACCCAGUGCUACCCAGCAUCGCCCACUGUCUGUCGGGUGGUAGGUAGACCCCUUUCAAACGUCGUGAGUUCUUUCGAGCACCUGCUCUAGCGGAACAUCUCAUGUGUUUCCAGGAAACUUCCAGAAGAACACCACCUGUCUGUUUUCAGCAAAACAUCCUCCCAUGUGUCUGUCCCACAGGUCUGCUUCAGGAAGAAACAUCCUGACAUAAGACAGUUUUCCAAAAACAUCGCGCGACACAACUGAGUCUCCAAAACACCCAAACAUUCCCCCUUCACACCUCAGUCAACUUUUUUUUUCUAGAAACAUCCUCAUAGACAUGCCCAGAUAGUCUUACUUAGGUGAUUCUAAUUCCAGCCAAGUGCACAAUAAAUUAGCCAUGAUAGCCGGUCGUGGAGGCACACACCUUACCUCCUACCACUGGGGAGGCAGAGGACAAAGGUCUCUGUGAGUUCAAGACCAGCCUGGCCUAUGUCGAGAAUUCUAGGAUAGGUAGGGCGGGGUCGAGAGACCCAGGCUGAGAG